GCAGAAUUCUAAAUGAUUAUGAAUACAUGAAUCUUCACCAUACACAGCUUGAAUUGUGUGUGUGUAUUCAAAUUUAACAUGGCAAUUCUAACACAUCCUUGUCUGUGUGCCCUUGUGAACUUGCUUCACCUCUCUCUAUUAAUAAUUUUAAUGAUUGCUACUUUUCUUCUUCUUUUAGCAUCACUAGUCUCCAAAUCCACUAUCUAGAUGAAAAGCAAGGGAAAUGGUAUGAUUCUGAGACCAAAAGAAUAUUCAGACCAAAUCAACCAUCAACUGAGUUGGGUGGAAGAAAUCUCCCUCACUCUAUUUCAGGAACUGAAACAAAGGGAUAGAAUCCACGAGCAGUUGUUUUUGGUUCUGCUUAAAAUUGCUGUACUAAGUAGAGUGUAUGACUCAGAGAUUGCCAGAAGAGGACUGGAGCCUCUCAGAAGCUCACUUCAGAAGAGCAAAAGGUCAAGGUUCAGGUGUAUCCUAAUUGGGAAAAGAAGAGUGAGAAUUCAGCCUUUUAAGAGACCCGGAGCUCACAUAUUUCCGAGGUGA
rnacentral:lncRNA from 1 species